rnacentral:rRNA from 1 species
GGGAUGAACGCUGGCGGCGUGCUUAAUACAUGCAAGUCGAGCGGUAACACUUCGGGUGACGAGCGGCGGACGGCUGAGUAACACGUAGGAACGUACCCCAAACUGAGGGAUAACUGCUCGAAAGAGUAGCUAAUACCGCAUGUGAUCUUCGGAUUAAAGCUUCGGCGGUUUGGGAACGGCCUGCGCAUGAUUAGCUUGUUGGUGAGGUAAUGGCUCACCAAGGCAACGAUCAUUAGCUGGUCUGAGAGGAUGACCAGCCAGACUGGGACUGAGACACGGCCCAGACUCCUACGGGAGGCAGCAGUAGGGAAUUUUCCACAAUGGACGAAAGUCUGAUGGAGCAACGCCGCGUGCAGGAUGAAGGCUCUAGGGUCGUAAACUGCUUUUAUAGGUGAAGAUUAUGACGGUAACCUAUGAAUAAGGAUCGGCUAACUCCGUGCCAGCAGCCGC